CAGCACAUUCUUAACCGCGACCUAGUGAUUUACGGCGCCGAGAGCCGCAACUGAACGCGCACAGCAGGGACCGAAAGCAGGGAAACCCGGAGCCUUGACUUUCUGCAGGGCGACUGCACCAAAGCGAAACAGAAGCUGAACUGGAAGCCCCGGGUCGCUUUCGAUGAGCUGGUGAGGGAGAUGGUGCACGCCGACGUGGAGCUCAUGAGGACAAACCCCAAUGCCUGAGCACCGCCGCGGAGCCCGGCCCGCCCUCCGGCUACAAUCCCCGUGGAGUCGCUGGUGCAGACGCGCUGUGGGGAUGGGGAGGGGCGUGCCAAUCUGCGGGUCCCCUGCGGCCCCUGCUGCCGCUGCGCUGCCCCGGCCGCAGGAGCCGGGCCGCCCCGCCGAGGUUUGUAGCAGCCGGGAUGUGACCCUCCAGGGUUUGGGUCGCUUUGCUUUUGUCGAAGCCUCCUCUGAAUGGCUUUGUGAAAUCAAGAUGUUUUAAUCACAUUCACUUUACUUGAAAUUAUGUUGUUAGACAACAAACUGUGGGGCCUUCAAAUUGUUUUUCUCUUUUCAUAUUAAAAAUGGUCUUUCUGUGAACUAGCA
rnacentral:sRNA from 1 species